rnacentral:rRNA from 1 species
CCUACGGGAGGCAGCAGUGGGGGAUAUUGGACAAUGGAGGAAACUCUGAUCCAGCGAUGCCGCGUGAGUGAAGAAGGUUUUCGGAUUGUAAACCUCUGUGGAGGGGGACGACAAUGACGGUACUCCUUUAGUAAGCAACGGCUAACUACGUGCCAGCAGCAGCCGUAAUACGUAGGUGGCGAGCGCUGUCCGGAAUUAUGGGGUGCAAAGGGAGUGUAGGCGGGAGAGCAAGUCAGAAGUGAAAACUAUGGGCUUAACCCAUAGCCUGCUUUUGAAACUGUUUUUCUUGAGUGAAGUAGAGGAAAGCGGAAUUCCUAGUGUAGCGGUGAAAUGCGUAGAUAUUAGGAGGAACACCAGUGGCGAAGGCGGCUUGCUGGGCUGUUACUGACGCUGAGGCUCGAAAGCGUGGGGAGCAAACAGGAUUAGAUACCCGGGUAGUC